rnacentral:rRNA from 1 species
UACGUAGGGGGCAAGCGUUGUCCGGAAUUAUUGGGCGUAAAGAGCGUGUAGGCGGCCAUGUAGGUCCGUUGUGAAAACUCGAGGCUCAACCUCGAGACGCCGAUGGAAACCAUGUGGCUAGAGUCCGGAAGAGGAGAGUGGAAUUCCUGGUGUAGCGGUGAAAUGCGCAGAUAUCAGGAAGAACACCCGUGGCUAAGGCGGCUCUCUAGUACGGUACUGACGCUGAGACGCGAAAGCGUGGGGAGCGAACAGG